AUACAAAAACAUAAAAACAUCGACUGUUUUAUAUUUUGGAUUGUCGUUCACAAACUUUGGUCGGGGCGUGGACGACUUCUUUUUUUUAUUUUGUU
rnacentral:antisense_RNA from 1 species